AUCUAAUUCUCUAACUUUUUCAAAGUCUAUGCAUCUCGUGUUAGUUUCUCUCUACUGCCGUUCAGCACAGUUCCUUUAAUGUAUUUUAUAUGUGGAAAGAUUUUUCCAAGAUCAAAGAUUGUCUCACCUUCUCAUUUUACAAUGGACUCCCACUGUAUUGAAAACUCCAUACGAGCUUUACAGAUUAAAAAGAGAUACACUCAAUCUUAAGUGCCGUUUUAUGUCUAACUAUCAGGAUGUGAUCUAAAGCCUCAUUUCUGAAUUUUUUCUAGUAAAUGACUGUUUCACAAAGUUUCGCAAAGUUUGUACUUUUUAGUUUUCUCGUGUACACUUAUUCAAAGAUUGUCAUGUCUAAGAGAGGCUCCAGCUCGAGGACAGCCUCACAAUCGCAACAUCAAGACAUCAGCCAACCAUCUGAUUUUGGCAUCGAAAAGUCUAUUCAAAAUCUAAGCGAUCUCACAUCAGAAGAGCGGGAAAAACUGGUGUCCGAUGUCACCCGGUUAUUUUUGCUUGCUGACAUAAGAAAACAACUUGUCAAGAGAGAAGACAUCAAAAAAAUCCUUACUUAUUACAAAUCUCCGAAAAUUGUCAAAGAGCUGAUUGAGCUUGCCAAGAUCAAGUUAUUUGACUUGUUUGGAUUUGAGCUGGUAUCGCUUUCGAAAUACGACUCGAAGGGGAAUGCUAUUCCCGGCACAGAACAAGGGGCAUAUUUGCUAAGAAUGAGUCCAGACGUCAAAAAAUUCUUGUCUCCUGUGAGUGACCAAAUGUAUUAUCCCGAUAUCGAACGUUUCGGCCUCUUGAUGGUCAUCUUAGGGUAUCUUUUUAUCAACGGUGGUACAGACAAAGAGACGUUUUGGAAAGAUUUAAAACGUCUAAAUAUUGAUGAGCACAAAAAGCACGAGCUGUUUGAUGACUGUCAGUCCAUUGUAAACACGUUCGUCGAGCAAGAUUAUCUUACUCUAAAGCGAGUUCAGUCUAAGAAUGGAGGGGAGAUAAUGUAUGUGUAUUUCAUAGGGCCGAGAAGUUAUGCAGAAAUCCCAAAAAAAAACAUCUUAAUAUUUGUAGCGAAGAUGUGUGGCUACCAAGAACCAGAUCCAAUUCUACUCGCUGAGAUCGAGAAAGAAGAAUGUCUAAAAAAAUGAGAGGAUAUAUCGCCUGUGAAAGAGUUGAUAAAACGUUGCCCUUCUAUUUUUAUAGGCAUUUUCAGCUUGAAUCCAGACGACAUCAGGAUAUUCAUUGUCGUUACAAAAAAAAUUUCAUGUCUGUACUAAAGUCAUUCUUUAUACCAUCCUGAUUAAAAUAUGCCUAUAUACCACCAUUCAUAUGUUUUAUCUCGAAUCGCAUAUCAGAAAAUUUUUUUUGUGUCUAAAUAAUCAGUGGUAUAAAUGUACAGACGAUCAAGAAGCGUGAGCCUGUAUCCGCUUGGCAUAGUACCCCUGACUGUGGCUUGACUUACAAUAUUUAGGCUGAGACGCAUUUGGAAACUAUGACUGCCAGUUAGCUGCACUAUUUUUUGAGUUUGGUUUUUAUUGUAUUAGGCGGUUAGAGAGGGGCUUUUUGGCCCAAGAGCCAUUUUAUAGCUUGGGUUCUGCUGAUUUGAAAAAGACCAGCUUAUUUCGAAUGUAAACUGCCUGUCAUUAUUGGCUUAAGUACAGAUGUAUCUGUAUGUCUCUAUUGAGAUUGAUGUUUAUUGGUUUAGAUUGUUUUGAUAUUACGAGAGCUGUACGCUAAAUUUUGGACACCUUGGUUUGUACGUGUACUUGUCUCUACUUAUCAGAAAAUUUAGACGGCGUAUAUAUACUGUGUUUGUUGGGUAACAUCAGAGCUAUGAAGGCUAUUAGAAGGCUACGACCUGUCUUCUGAUACAUCCAGCCCCUAAUGUGUUUUUUAGACGCAUGGUAGAUGGAUGAUCUAUAAUGAUUUACUCGUCAGCAUUCUUUUGAAUCAAAAUAGGGUAACUGUUUUUUUCAGCAUGCAACUUUUAUGUUUAUAGCAAUAUUUCAGAGUUGAAUAUCUGCCAAAGGGGCGAAUUUUCUUGUGUUGAAACCUUGUUUUUACAGAUCUUUGUACCAAAAAAAAAAUUAUUUUUUGUCAAACGAUUUAUCGUGCCACUUUGUUCAGCGAGCAUGCACAAAAAUUUGAGUGGUCUAAGCGGUAUUGAUGAUUCAUAUCAAAGGCUGGAAAAAAAUUUUGAGUUUAUUCAGCAGGGAAUUAGAUUAGUUGAAGAAGAGAAAAAAAGAAUUAAGCGAGAGAACGCAUGUUUGAAAGCUCUUAAUGAAAGAAAAACACUGGAAUUGGAGCAGUUGCAUAAGCAAGUAGAGAUGCAGCAGUUCAUUCGAGACUACGUCAUUACAUCUCAGCAUAUGGUAGAUAUUCAAGAAGAGCUUUCACAGCUUCGAGAGGAGAAUUAUUCUUGGCACUUAGAGAGAAAAGCGUUGCUUGAACAGAUAGAUGAGUUGAAACAUAAGAUUUCACAACGCGAGACGUUUUACGAGGCCCAGUCUGCUUAUUGGAAAAAGUUGCUGAAUGAGUAUGAGGAUCAGAUUGAUGAAUAUCGGAACAGUGAAGUCACAACAAGAGAUGGAGCAUGCAGAUUUGCAAGUAGUAAAGAGAUCAUGUGUUUGAAGGAAAAAGUAGAUACGGUUCAUGAAGAAAGAUUGUUUGAAGUAGAGUGAAAGGAAUUAGUAUGUGACGUAUGUUUUGGAAUCAUUGGUGGCGGUUUUGAAAUUAGUCAAGAAACUCUCAUUUUUGCUGUAAGAAUAGUCUGAAAAUUUAUGGAAAUACUUACUGAAUUAAUAAUAUGCUACAUGCGAUGAUUUAGGCAUCUAGGAGAAGUGUUUGGAUUCGACAGAAUGAUCAUUUUAAUUGUGUCUUUUUUUAAAAUUCAUUAUUUUUGCGGCAGUAUGUCACGGAGU